CCUACGGGUGGCAGCAGUGAGGAAUAUUGGUCAAUGGGCGGAAGCCUGAACCAGCCAAGUCGCGUGCGGGAAGACGGCCCUACGGGUUGUAAACUGCUUUUGUCCGGGAAUAACGCGCCUUACGUGUAGGGCUUUGCAUGUACCGUAAGAAUAAGCACCGGCUAAUUCCGUGCCAGCAGCCGCGGUAAUACGGAAGGUCCGGGCGUUAUCCGGAUUUAUUGGGUUUAAAGGGAGCGUAGGCCGCAUGUCAAGCGUGCUGUGAAAUGGCCGGGCUCAACCCGGGCCUUGCAGCGCGAACUGGCGCGCUUGAGUGCGCGGAAAGCAGGCGGAAUGCGUGGUGUAGCGGUGAAAUGCUUAGAUAUGACGAAGAACCCCGAUUGCGAAGGCAGCUUGCUGCAGCGGAACUGACGCUGAUGCUCGAAAGCGCGGGUAUCGAACAGGAUUAGAUACCCUUGUAGUC
rnacentral:rRNA from 1 species